rnacentral:rRNA from 1 species
AUGUUCUAGUGGCAGUCACUCAGCCGUGUCAACAACACUCGCACAACGCUGAUUAACGCGCAGAAGGGAAAUCAAUCGGUGGCCUCCUUCUUCGCCGCCAUGAGGGGUCUCGCCGAUGAACUCGCUGCGGCGGGAAAACCUAUCCAAGACGACGAGCUGAUAUCCUACAUCAUCCAUGGGCCGGACCAAGAUUACCAGCCCCUCGUUUCUGCUCUGGACGCCCGCGUCACCCCGGUAACCCUUGAUGAACUCUUUUACAUGCUCAAUAACUUUGAUCAGCGCAUGGAGCAGUACCACGGCUCCGGUGGUGGUUUCAAGUCGUCGACCAACUCUGCCUCCCGAGGCCGCGGUGGAGGUCCUCGCUCACGUGGCCCUUCCCGUGGCAAGGGGAGGUUUGGAUCCGGCGGCGGUGGCUACUCCAACAACUCUCACGGUGAUGGACGCUCCGGCAACUCCAAAGGACGUCAUGAUGGCGGCUCCAAUAGAUCCCGUCCGGACUUGCCUCGCUGCCAAAUUUGUGGCAAGCCUGGCCAUACGGCAAAGGACUAUUGGUACCGCUAUGAAGAAGAUGACGGUGACUCCUCGCAAGAUGAAUAA